rnacentral:lncRNA from 1 species
GGUUUGGCUCCAUUCUUUUCUGUCUGGUUCAUGUGUGAAAGCAGGACCGAUUAACCAACCAGAGACAAGCCCAGGAAGGAAUGCAACUCCGUCUUGCUGAUCUCACUCGCUCUGGACCGUUCCAGAUAAAAGAUUUCCUAAUAAAGUGAGAACUACAAUAGGACUAUGUGGAAUUGUAAUCUCCCAUCCCAGUUGCUGAAUAGAUGGUGUCAUCCUUUGUGGAAUGUCCCUGGCCUCGUCAGACCUCAUUUUGAUCAUGUCUGGAGGACUAAGAGGCACAUGAAGAAAAUUUUUAAUGACUCAACAGAUAAACACUUGAUUUCACCUGGGUCAAGUUCCAGGUAUUCAUACCGGGCGUUGACUGUCUCUAGGCCAUGCACAGUGCAGGACCAACCUUCUCCUCCCAAACUCUGACACUAAUUUUGCCCUGUGCCCAUUUGGACCCAUCACAUCCAUCUCCUUGCCACCCCACCCCCCCAACUCUUUCAUGGGGGCUGAAAAUUGGGACUGAUGAUAUCUGUCCGAAACCCCCAAAGCCCUCAUCAUAAAUAAAAGUGUAUUUAUAAGUGCCCUGAGGAGGAGGGCGUAGGAACUCAUCUUGCGUGGUGCUUUUCUCUUGUUGUUGGAACUGUGGAAGGUGGAUGUUUUUCAUUAACACCAGCAUUUGCAACACGCAUCCCAACUCCCAGCUGGAAAGAGAAUUUUUGCUGAAUUGUUCACAAAGAGCACUCUGUUUUGGAAAAUCAGUCUCCUCGGGCCUGGAGCUUUGAGGUUUGCUGAAUUCAUGUUAAACACUGACUGUGUGGUCCAGUGGUCAGGGAGCAGACUGGCUGCAAGAAGGUCUCCAGGUCUACACCUCAGCCCAGUCACGGCCACUCACUGGGAGACUGUGGGAAGAGGGCUGGAGGGCUUUAGAUUUUUUUCAUCUUCAGCUGCCAGCCUGGGCAAAGCCACAACUCUGGAGCCAACCUGAGGCCACAUCGGAGCUUCUGUCCCCGCCAUCCACAGAACGCAGAAUAAGUUUCUGCCUCACCUAGGAUUUGGUCAGAGAAUUUUCCUUCAGUGCCAAGUUGCCACUUUUGCCCCAAAGUAAGUGACUGAAUGCUGAUUGGGUUCAAAGAUACAAGGUGCUCUUGAAUGAAACCAGCUUAGGUCUCUGUUUCUCAGACUAGGGGCUGGAGUUCAGCGGGGGACUCUCAAACCAGUGGGCUUUGGUGAUCACUUAAUGAUACCACUGGGGCUGCCAUAUUGAAGCUUUGGUGGUGGCAGAUCGAGGAAAGACAAUAUUGUCUGCAACUAUCUCCAGAUUUGGGGGAGUGGGAGAGGGUACAGAUAGAAGGAGAUGCAGGAAAGAGCAGUCAUUCAAAAAAAGCUACUGGUCAGAAAUCUACAGACUUUGAGAUGCUUUGGGGAGGUUGUAGGAUAAGGAAAUUGCCCAAGGAUGAUCUGGCUCCCAUGGCUAUGGCUUUGGAGCAAGCUAUAGCCCCCACGCCAAAAAUGAGUUAUUAAAUCACUUUUAAAAAUCUGUGAGCAAAAGAGCUUACCUGUGUAAUGAAGUGUACUUGUUUUAACCUAAAAUGGGAGAGGAUCGUGAUUUAUAAUGUGAGUGGAGCAAGCCAGGCACUGGCGACUACAGGGCACACAGGUGCUGACUCUGGGUUGAGUCUACACCACAGAGAUGUUCAAUGUGUCCGUCACAGCAGCAGGACGGCCCUCUACAGCUCAGGUGUGCCACGGGGUGGUCUUGGAACUCUGUCAUUGCUGUGUAGAAACACCCAGAGACAUUGAGGGGAGGCUAGCCCCUUCGAGAUGCACAGGAAUCUCCCAUUUUGCCUCCAGCGGCUCAGCCCCACAUGCUCACAUCCCUGCCUCAUCCCUGCAGAAUUUGGGUGUGUGAGCCCGGUGAAGAUACCCCUCCAGGUCCCAUGUUUCCUUGGCAUGAACUGACUUUAUUCUGGAAACCUACAGUGGAAGAGAGCAUGAGAGGUCAUCGCAGUCAUCAGAACCAUGUGACUUCUGAGCCCUUGUUCUUUCCAUUAUGCCCUGUUGCCUCCCAAGGACUCCGCAAGUUCUCCCUUGAUGAUGCUGGCUGAUGGCUCACCAUCUAUGGGGGCUCCCGGCCCUGGUUACUGAGAGGGAUGCUUCAUACACCAGCUGUGGGACAAGGACGGUCUUUUUUCGGUAGGGAAGCUUUGUCACUCCCACACCCUUUCCAACCUCUUCAUUCUCCCCACACCACUCCGGAAGGUGGUUUGUGGGCCAAAUCCAGCUGUACUGAGGUCUUUCUCCAGCUCAGAUGUGGGGUGACUUGCCCUUCCAAGGACUGGCCCAUGUCACUUGAUGGGUUUGUUGCCCAGCCUACUGCUGGUGGUCCACUGCUCUUUGGGAUCCCUUCUUGCAGUGAGAAUUCUCUCCAAAGAACAAUAAAUCACAGAAGAGAAAAGCGCGGUUCUGGCCCUUCUUGCAGCGAGGCGGGGAUUUAAGAAAUCUGAUCAAAGCAGAUGUUGAGGGAUGGGUGAACAUUUUUAAAAGCUUGCGAUGGAGAGAAAAACAAAAACAAAAAAACACUGGUUGGGAAUGUCGAACCCCAAACUCUCGGGGGAAGGUAGCUUUGGCCUCUCCACCUCCUGGUCAGUGCCAUUUCCUGUUUUCCUGAAUGUCCCACUCCCUUGCCUUUUUUUUUUUUUUUCUUUUUCUUUUUUUCCAUUUUCCUGGAAAAUAUUUCUAUCCUGGGAAAGCCGGUUUCAUCCAAUUGUCUGGUGUACCCCCAUGUGUUGAUACCCAGGCAAUGACAGAGAUGACCCUCUGCCCAGAGCAGCACGAGGGACUCAGUGAUCUGCAGGGCAGUCCCCAGGACCUUUGCAACCUGCCAGCUUCGUGUCUAACUUCUCAGCCACAGCAACUUGCGCGGCCCUCUGAUGCCAGGUCACCUCUGGUCUCUGCAGGUGACAUCACUUGGAGGAACAAGGUGAUUUUCAGCAGCCACCUGCAGGAGCUACUGAGGGUCAGGAGAGAACCACCCCCCCCCCUUACCCGUCCACACUGAGCCCAAGAGACUCGCCUCAGGCAGCGGCAGUCUCUUUUUAACCUCUCUGCGGGGAAAUCCUAGAACUUCAGCUGCGGCUCUUAACGCCUUUUCCACUGCUACUUUAUGGCAUCUCAUCCCAUUUCCAGGCCACACGUCCUGGUUUCAAGUUGACCCCCAUUGGUUCAGAAUUGACUGUGACAACUAUUUUUCUUAGUUCCGAUGGAUCCUAGCCAUCUGCUAAGUGCUGAUGUUGAGAUUGGAUCCUGGGGUGGUAGAAGGUCUAUUUCUCCCAAUUUUCCGAAACGAAAACUGCAGGGUGUCUGAGAUCACAGCUCACGGGACUGUAGGAUGUUCUGUAGGAUGGUGAGACUGCCACAUGGAUUUAUUCAGGUAACAAACAUUCACUGACCUCUGUAGUUGGCAGGGGGCUCAGCACUAAGGAAAUCGUAAGGGAAAAGAUAGACACAGCUUUUUCCUUUACUCUGCUUUUAGUGAAUUAUGGGUUACAGACAAGGAAAGGGAGCAUUAUAUCAAAGUGGAAUAAAAGGAUGGUUUGAUUUCAAGAGGAGCCCCUGGAGUUCCUGUUGUGGCAGAGCAGAAAUGAAUCCGACUUGUAUCCAUGAGGAUUUGGGUUUGAUCCCUGGCCCACUCAGUGAGUCAGGGAUCCAGCGUUGCUGUGAGUUGUGGCAUAGGUCACAGAUGCCACUCAGAUUCCCGCGUUGCUGUGGCUGUGGCUGCGGCUGGCAGCUGCAGCUCCAAUUCACUCCCUAGCCUGGGAACCUCCAUAUGCUGCGGG